AUUUUGUCCCUCUCUAUCAGAGCUGGGAAAGUUUCUACACUAGAAACUUGUAUCGAAGAAUAAGUGAUUGCUGGAAUCGUCCUGUCUGUACAGCUCCAGGAGCAGAAAUAGAUGUCUUAGAACGAGAAUCUCCUGAUUUUGGUUGGAACUGGAAAUUGAUUGUAAAGAAG